rnacentral:rRNA from 1 species
GGUAGUAACUGACCUUUGUUUGACGGUAAUCAUUUAGAAGUCACGGCUAACUACGUGCCAGCAGCGCGGUAAUACGUAGGUGGCAAGCGUUGUCCGGAUUUAUUGGGCGUAAGCGAGUGCAGGCGGCUCGAUAAGUCUGAUGUGAAAGCUUUCGGCUCAACCGGAGAAUUGCAUCAGAAACUGUCGAGCUUGAGUACAGAAGAGGAGAGUGGAACUCCAUGUGUAGCGGUGAAAUGCGUAGAUAUAUGGAAGAACACCGGUGGCGAAGGCGGCUCUCUGGUCUGUUACUGACGCUGAGGCUCGAAAGCAUGGGUAGCGAACAGGAUUAGAUACCCUGGUAGUCCAUGCCGUAAACGAUGAGUGCUAAGUGUUGGGAGGUUUCCGCCUCUCAGUGCUGCAGCUAACGCAUUAAGCACUCCGCCUGGGGAGUACGACCGCAAGGUUGAAACUCAAAGGAAUUGACGGGGGCCCGCACAAGCGGUGGAGCAUGUGGUUUAAUUCGAAGCAACGCGAAGAACCUUACCAGGUCUUGACAUCUAGUGCCAUUUGUAGAGAUACAAAGUUCCCUUCGGGGACGCUAAGACAGGUGGUGCAUGGCUGUCGUCAGCUCGUGUCGUGAGAUGUUGGGUUAAGUCCCGCAACGAGCGCAACCCUUGUUAUUAGUUGCCAGCAUUAAGUUGGGCACUCUAAUGAGACUGCCGGUGACAAACCGGAGGAAGGUGGGGAUGACGUCAAGUCAUCAUGCCCCUUAUGACCUGGGCUACACACGUGCUACAAUGGGCAGUACAACGAGAAGCGAGCCUGCGAAGGCAAGCGAAUCUCUGAAAGCUGUUCUCAGUUCGGACUGCAGUCUGCAACUCGACUGCACGAAGCUGGAAUCGCUAGUAAUCGCGGAUCAGCACGCCGCGGUGAAUACGUUCCCGGGCCUUGUACACACCGCCCGUCACACCAUGGGAGUCUGCAAUGCCCAAAGCCGGUGGCCUAACCUUCGGGAAGGAGCCGUCUAAGGCAGGGCAGAUGACUGGGGUG